ACGGGUGAGUAACGCGUAUCCAACCUGCCCACCACUUGGGGAUAACCUUGCGAAAGUAAGACUAAUACCCAAUGACGUCUCUAGAAGACAUCUGAAAGAGAUUAAAGAUUUAUCGGUGAUGGAUGGGGAUGCGUCUGAUUAGCUUGUUGGCGGGGUAACGGCCCACCAAGGCAACGAUCAGUAGGGGUUCUGAGAGGAAGGUCCCCCACAUUGGAACUGAGACACGGUCCCAACUCCUACGGGAGGCAGCAGUGAGGAAUAUUGGUCAAUGGACGAGAGUCUGAACCAGCCAAGUAGCGUGCAGGAUGACGGCCCUAUGGGUUGUAAACUGCUUUUAUAAGGGAAUAAAGUGAGUCUCGUGAGACUUUUUGCAUGUACCUUAUGAAUAAGGACCGGCUAAUUCCGUGCCAGCAGCCGCGGUAAUACGGAAGGUCCGGGCGUUAUCCGGAUUUAUUGGGUUUAAAGGGAGCGUAGGCCGGAGAUUAAGCGUGUUGUGAAAUGUAGACGCUCAACGUCUGCACUGCAGCGCGAACUGGUUUCCUUGAGUACGCACAAAGUGGGCGGAAUUCGUGGUGUAGCGGUGAAAUGCUUAGAUAUCACGAAGAACUCCGAUUGCGAAGGCAGCUCACUGGAGCGCAACUGACGCUGAAGCUCGAAAGUGCGGGUAUCGAACAGGAUUAGAUACCCUGGUAGUCCGCACGGUAAACGAUGGAUGCCCGCUGUUGGUCUGAAUAGGUCAGCGGCCAAGCGAAAGCAUUAAGCAUCCCACCUGGGGAGUACGCCGGCAACGGUGAAACUCAAAGG
rnacentral:rRNA from 1 species